rnacentral:lncRNA from 10 species
CUAUUUCUUCCCUUUUCACUUUCUCUUUCCCACCAUUUGCCUGAAGCUCCUCAUCCCCUUCCUUGUGCCUCCUCAGAAUUCUACCAGUGCACCUCAUUCAGACAUUCAUCAAGAAAAAGGCCAGCUGAAGGCAGACAGCCAACAAAACUCAGUCGUUAGCCACAGCCCUGGCUGUCCUCGUCCAUCAAGCCUGCCCAUUGUGAGCUUCCAUUCAUCUUACCUGUCUGUUAUGGAAGAGUGAAGUGGAAAAGGCAUGGAGGACUCAGAAGACCUGCUACCGAGAAGAGCCCCAUUGCAAUCAGAAGAUUAUUUAUGGAAAAAAGCAAAAUGGAGAUAUUUAAAAGACGGAGAGAGACAGCAGAAAGCUGCUUAAGAAAUUGCUUUGAGUCCACAGGAGGGAAGCACAAAGGAGAUGGGAUAAUAGUGUUAUACACUACAUGGAACCCUGGCAGCCAGACAAUAAGAAGGCUAAACAACAACAACAACAACAACAACAAAAAUCACCUCUAUUUGGCCUACUACUCCCUCAAACAUUAAACUAUUUGCCUUGAAAAGAACAAAGAAAGUAU